rnacentral:snRNA from 1 species
AUACUUACCUGGUGGCGGGGCCUCGUUGAUCACCGAGGACGAGCCACCCGGGGCGAGGCGCGGGCAUUGCCCUCACUGCGCUCGCGUUGACCCUUGCCACUAUCCCAAUAUGGGGCAGAUGGAGCAUGCAAAUUGCUUAAAUUCGGUUCAACGCAAGAGAGGGCGCCACCGUG